rnacentral:rRNA from 1 species
GACAGAGGUGCCGAGCGUUAGGCGGAAUCACUGGGCUUAAAGCGUGUGUAGGCGGACUUCUAAGUACCUUGUGAAAUCCCAUGGCUCAACCAUGGAACUGCUCGGUAUACUGGUUGUCUUGAGCCACUUAGGGGCAGUCGGAACAGACGGUGGAGCGGUGAAAUGCGUAGAUAUCGUCUGAAACGCCAACGGUGAAAACAGACUGCUGGGAGUGUGCUGACGCUGAGACACGAAAGCCAGGGGAGCAAACGGG